CUCGGGGCCUCACCAGGAGGAGCCAAGACCCUCACCCGAGCCUGUGAUUCGGAUUCCGAGGCGCCGUUCAUCACGAAGGCGGCGGCGAACCACAUUGAAGUUCACACUGGGGCAGGUCGAGGAAAUGGAAAAAUUGUUCAAAGAAACCCAGUACCCAGAUGCGCUUGCCAGGAAAGAACUUGCACAAGCUUUGAAUAUUCCUGAAGUCAAAGUGAAGACAUGGUUCGUCCAUCGGAGAGCAGAAGAGAGGAAGAGUCAGAGGCGUGGAGUAGUACAGAGCACACCUCCUCGUGUUGAAUAGGUCCUUCUCAUUAUCGAUAGGGACGACUAUCUAUAGAGUGCAAUCUUUGUUCAGGACCUAGAGGCAAAUCUGGUGACACAUGUACUCAAUGUACAGCUUCACUAAAAUUCAUCACUCAUGUUAACAAUAAAAUCAUGAAUUUCCAAGUUA